GACGAACGCUGGCGGCGUGCUUAACACAUGCCAGUCGAACGGAAAGGCCCUGCUUUUGUGGGGUGCUCGAGUGGCGAACGGGUGAGUAACACGUGAGUAACCUGCCCUUGACUUUGGGAUAACUUCAGGAAACUGGGGCUAAUACCGGAUAGGAGCUCCUGCUGCAUGGUGGGGGUUGGAAAGUUUCGGCGGUUGGGGAUGGACUCGCGGCUUAUCAGCUUGUUGGUGGGGUAGUGGCUUACCAAGGCUUUGACGGGUAGCCGGCCUGAGAGGGUGACCGGCCACAUUGGGACUGAGAUACGGCACAGACUCCUACGGGAGGCAGCAGUGGGGAAUAUUGCACAAUGGGCGGAAGCAUGAUGCAGCAACGCCGCGUGCGGGAUGACGGCCUUCGGGUUGUAAACCGCUUUCGCCUGUGACGAAGCGUGAGUGACGGUAAUGGGUAAAGAAGCACCGGCUAACUACGUG
rnacentral:rRNA from 1 species